rnacentral:rRNA from 1 species
GUGGGGAAUAUUGGACAAUGGGGGGAACCCUGAUCCAGCCAUGCCGCGUGUGUGAAGAAGGCCUUUUGGUUGUAAAGCACUUUAAGCGAGGAGGAGGCUUACCUGGUUAAUACCUAGGAUAAGUGGACGUUACUCGCAGAAUAAGCACCGGCUAACUCUGUGCCAGCAGCCGCGGUAAUACAGAGGGUGCGAGCGUUAAUCGGAUUUACUGGGCGUAAAGCGCGCGUAGGUGGUUAAUUAAGUCAAAUGUGAAAUCCCCGAGCUUAACUUGGGAAUUGCAUUCGAUACUGGUUAGCUAGAGUAUGGGAGAGGAUGGUAGAAUUCCAGGUGUAGCGGUGAAAUGCGUAGAGAUCUGGAGGAAUACCGAUGGCGAAGGCAGCCAUCUGGCCUAAUACUGACACUGAGGUGCGAAAGCAUGGGGAGCAAACAGGAUUAGAUACCCUUGUAGUCC